rnacentral:ncRNA from 1 species
AUAAUUUUAUUUAUGUUAAUAAAUUUAAUUAAAUAAAAUUUUACAUAUAAAAUUUUUUAUAAAAUAAUAAUUUUUUAAAUAAAAAUUAAAUUAAAAUUUAUAUAUUUAUUAAUAGUAGUAAUUAAUAUUAUUAAUUUAAUUAAUGUUAAAUUGUAGUUAUUAUUUAAAAAUAAUGAUUAAAUUUGUGCCAGCAAUCGCGGUUACACAAAUAUUAUAAUUAAAUUUUUUUAAUGAAAGUUAAAAGAGAUCUGAUAUAAGAAAGAAAAAUAAAUUUUUAAGUGAAAUUUAAAUUUUAUUUAAAAUUUUUAUUAUUUAAAAAUUUUUGAAGCUUAAAAAAUUUAAUUUUUAAACUAGGAUUAGAUACCCUAUUAUUUGAAUUGUUAAUAAUAAACAUUUAGGUAGUAAUAAUUAAUUUUUUAAAACUUAAAAAAUUUGGCGGUAUUUUAUUCUGUUUAGAGGAACUUGUUCUGUAAUUGAUAAUCCGCGAAUAUUUUACUUUUUUUUGUUUUCAGUUUAUAUAUCGUUGUCAUAAGAAUAUUUUAAUAGAAGAAAUAAUUUUCGGGAAUUUAGAUUAAAAAAAAUGUCAAAUCAAGGUGUAGUUUAUGAAAAAGUAGAAAUGAGUUACAAUAAAUUUUAUUUAUAAUGAAUAAUUUUUUGAAAUAGAGGUUUGAAGGUGGAUUUAAAAGUAAAUUAAUUUAUAAAAAUUAAUUGAUUAUAGUUUUAAAAUAUGCACAUAUCGCCCGUCGCUCUCGUUAUUUAAAUUUUAAAUGAGAUAAGUCGUAACAUAGUAGAUAUACUGGAAAGUGUAUCUAGAAAUA